rnacentral:rRNA from 1 species
AAAGAAAUCAGUUCAGCACUAAGUCACUUUGUCUAUAUGGCAAAUGUGAGAUGCAGUGUAUGGAACGUCAAUAUUCUAGUAUGAGAAAUUAACGAUUUAAGUCCUUCUUAAAUGAGGCCAUUUACCCAUAGAGGGUGCCAGGCCCGUAUAACGUUAAUGAUUAUUAGAUGAUGUUUCCAAAGAGUCGUGUUGCUUGAUAGUGCAGCACUAAGUGGGUGGUAAACUCCAUCUAAAACUAAAUAUAACCAUGAGACCGAUAGUAAACAAGUACCGUGAGGGAAAGUUGAAAAGAACUCUGAAUAGAGAGUUAAAUAGUACGUGAAACUGCUUAGAGGUUAAGCCCGAUGAACCUGAAUAUCCGUUAUGGAAAAUUCAUCAUUAGAAUUGUAAUAUUUAAUCAAUAUUAUAACGAUAGUGUGCAUUUUUUCCAUAUAAGGACAUUGUAAUCUAUUAGCAUGUAUGGAAUUUAUCAAACAAUUUUGAUAAGAGUUUAUUUAAAUUAAAGUGCUUGCAUUUUAACACAAAAUAAAUUUCAAAAAUUUGAUAAAGUGCUGAUAGAUUUAUAUGAGUACAGUGCGUUAAUUUUUCGGAAUUAUAUAAUGGCAUGAUUAUCAUUGAUUUUUGUGUUUAUUAUAAGCACUUGUAUGAUUAA